GGGUCAGUAGGUUGGUCGUGCCACCGGUACGUACUGGUCUCGCUGAUUCCUCCUUCCUGAAGAACCGUAAUGCCAUUAAUUUGGUGUUGCGGGGAAACAGGACUGUUACUUUGAAAAAAUUAGAGUGUUUAAAGCAAGCUAACGCUUGAAUACAUUAGCAUGGAAUAAUGAAAUAGGACGAUCGAUCCUAUUUUGUUGGUUUCUAGGAUUGACGUA
rnacentral:rRNA from 1 species